UCCUCCUGAAUGUAGAAAAGCUCUCCCC
rnacentral:piRNA from 1 species